GUAUGUGAGAGUGAUCUGGCUGUGACACGUGUCACCUCAUUGAUUUCUAGGAUUGAUUCGGCUGAUCUGGCUGACUUGGUGGGUGUCUUCCUUCCUCACUGCUCCAUGUGGGUCCCUCCUGAAGCUGCACUCAGUGGAAGAGGACAACCUUCCCUGAAUAGAGGGGCAGGUCUUGGGUCAAGGGUAUAUGGAUAGCUGUGCUCCCCUGCUAGAACCUCCAAACAAGCUCUCAAAAUCCUCACUUGUUUCGUUUCUGCAUGUGUAUGCAUUUGUAGUGUAUGCAUGUUCAUCUGUAUGUGGAAGCCAGAGGCUGAACUCCGCUUUUC
rnacentral:snRNA from 1 species